GGACGGUUAGCUCAGUUGGGAGAGCACCUGCCUUACAAGCAGGGGGUCGCAGGUUCGAGCCCUGCACCGUCCACCA
rnacentral:tRNA from 1 species